rnacentral:rRNA from 1 species
UACGUAGGGGCAAGCGUUGUCCGGAAUCAUUGGGCGUAAAGCGCGUGUAGGCGGCUCGGUAAGUCCGCUCUGAAAGCCCGGGGCUCAACCCCGGGAGGCGGGUGGAUACUGCUGAGCUCGAGUCCGGAAGAGGAGUGUGGAAUUCCUGGUGUAGCGGUGAAAUGCGCAGAUAUCAGGAAGAACACCCGUGGCGAAGGCGGCUUUCUGGGACGGUAGCUGACGCUGAGACGCGAAAGCGUGGGGAGCGAACAGG